rnacentral:rRNA from 1 species
GUGUCAGUAGCCGCGGUAAUACGUAGGUGGCAAGCGUUGUCCGGAAUUAUUGGGCGUAAAGCGCGCGCAGGCGGGAUAUCAAGUCUGUCUUAAAAGUGCGAGGCUCAACCUCGUGAGGGGACGGAAACUGGUAUUCUUGAGUGUCGGAGAGGAAAGUGGAAUUCCAAGUGUAGGGGUGAAAUGCGUAGAGAUUUGGAAGAACACCAGUGGCGAAGGCGACUUUCUGGAAGAUGUCUGACGCUGAGGUGCGAAAGCUAGGGGAGCGAACGGGAUUAGAUACCCCGGUAGUCCUAGCCGUAAACGAUGGGUACUAGGUGUAGGGGGUAUCGACCCCUCCUGUGCCGGAGUUAACGCAAUAAGUACCCCGCCUGGGGAGUACGGCCGCAAGGUUGAAACUCAAAUGAAUUGGCGG